rnacentral:rRNA from 1 species
UACGGGGGGGGCAAGCGUUGUUCGGAAUUACUGGGCGUAAAGGGCUCGUAGGCGGCCAACUAAGUCAUACGUGAAAUCCCCCGGCUUAACCUGGGAACUGCGUCUGAUACUGGAAGGCUUGAGGAUGGGAGAGGGAUGUAGAAUUCCAGGUGUAGCGGUGAAAUGCGUAGAUAUUCGGAGGAACACCGGUGGCGAAGGCGGCAUCCUGGACCGACACUGACGCUGAGGAGCGAAAGCCAGGGGAGCAAACGGG